rnacentral:tRNA from 2 species
GCAGUCGUGACCGAGUGGUUAAGGCGAUCGAUAGACUAGAAAUCCAUUGGGGUCUCCCCACACAGGUUUGAAUCCUGUCGACUGCG